rnacentral:rRNA from 1 species
UAGGGAAUCUUCCGCAAUGGGCGAAAGCCUGACGGAGCAACGCCGCGUGAGUGAUGAAGGUCUUCGGAUCGUAAAACUCUGUUAUUAGGGAAGAACAAAUGUGUAAGUAACUAUGCACGUCUUGACGGUACCUAAUCAGAAAGCCACGGCUAACUACGUGCCAGCAGCCGCGGUAAUACGUAGGUGGCAAGCGUUAUCCGGAAUUAUUGGGCGUAAAGCGCGCGUAGGCGGUUAUUUAAGUCUGAUGUGAAAGCCCACGGCUCAACCGUGGAGGGUCAUUGGAAGCUGGAAAACUUGAGUGCAGAAGAGGAAAGUGGAAUUCCAUGUGUAGCGGUGAAAUGCGCAGAGAUAUGGAGGAACACCAGUGGCGAAGGCGACUUUCUGGUCUGUAACUGACGCUGAUGUGCGAAAGCGUGGGGAUCAAACAGG